GACGUAGGGGGCAAGCGUUGUCCGGAAUCAUUGGGCGUAAAGCGCUCGUAGGUGGAUCGGUAAGUCUGCAAAGAAAGACCCGGGCUCAACUCGGGGAACGGUGUGGAUACUACCGAUCUUGAGGCAAUCAGAGGAUGAUGGAAUUCCCGGUGUAGCGGUGAAAUGCGUAGAUAUCAGGAGGAACACCAAUGGCGAAGGCAGCUCGCUGGGACGGUACUGACGCUGAGACGCGAAAGCGUGGGGAGCAAACAGG
rnacentral:rRNA from 1 species